UACGGGGGGAGCAAGCGUUGUUCGGAUUUACUGGGCGUAAAGGGCGCGUAGGCGGCGUAACAAGUCACUUGUGAAAUCUCCGGGCUUAACCCGGAGCGGCCAAGUGAUACUGUUGUGCUAGAGUGCGGAAGGGGCUACUGGAAUUCUCGGUGUAGCGGUGAAAUGCGUAGAUAUCGAGAGGAACACCUGCGGCGAAGGCGGGUAGCUGGGCCGACACUGACGCUGAGGCGCGAAAGCCAGGGGAGCGGACGGG
rnacentral:rRNA from 1 species